UUUAUUAACUACCAAAUAAUGAUCAGUAUAAAUUUAUUUCUACAUGAAUUCGGACAAAAGGUGAAAUUUCUUCAAUUCAUAGUUCAAUAUAUCAAAUCCGUGCAGUAAUAUUUUCUAAAUAACGUUGACGUCUCAAAAAUGAUGCAGCUAAAAAAUUAUUAAAUUCAAUUUUAAAGACUGUUGAACAGUGAGUUCGAAAAUUAUUCGGAUGAAAUAUGAAACCGAGCGCGAUUGUUGAACUCUGGAAAGCGGAAGUGUCCUGAGUCAGCAGAACGCGGGCAGCGAACCAGCGAAACGUUGAGGUGGGGAUUGGCAGAGGUGUGACGUGGGCUUCCUCCAACUUUUGGGUGUUGGCGAAUACGUCACCAGGUUCAUCGCUCUUCAGGCUACACGACUCCAUAGAGACUGUCGCUGUCAUUCUACCAGCUGUUCGGCGGAUGACAACUGUAAUAACAUGGAUCUACUACUGGGGCAACGUUUGCGGCAUUCUACAAUGGAGAUGAAGACAUCAAUUAAAUUUGGAGUGCCUUUUGCGAACGGACAGAGAGGCCAGAGCAACAGAGCCACAGGCACACCACCAUCCGAGUUGAAGGAGGCGGUCACCUCGAGAAGAUAAUGCAGGAGACAACAUUCGGCAACGACACUGCCUAAGAGUCAACUCAACAGUUUCAAAAUCGCUGGGUGUUCAAAAGUGACCAAUGUGUGGUGGGGACUAUAAUGAUUAGAAAUUUAAAACUUUAUGUGGGAGAACUUUAUGGUAGCCUAAUGUGUUAAGAUGGACUCUGCUUUGCUCUGUGCCAAUAAUUUAUUGUUUGUAAAAUUAGACUAGAUUCAUCAUUCAAAUGUAUAAGUAUGAUACUCUCUCUCCUUGAAUUUUAUUAUAUAAAUUUUUAAAAUGUAAUGAAUAUGGAAAUGUAUCAACUAUAUUUAACGAUAUUGUCAAGAUUUAAAUUUUAUUUGAUUUCAACUUAGUUUAAAGAUGUGCCAGUAAUUGUAUAUGCCACAUCUUUUUCAUGCGGAGGGGUGAUGUAACAAUUCAAACACCCCGCUCUCAUAGGAUAUUAAUUAUUAGAAUAGCGGAGUCAUCACUCAGGCCACCAAAUUGGACUUUUGAACUGGUGAGCUGAGAGAGUGAUGACCGCGUAGAGGCGAAACUAGAGGGAGAACGUUCCGAGACGCGCUAGAGGAAGGUUGUGCUUGAGAUAGUGAGAUGUAGUUUUUAGUAAUGUGAUUGAGGAGUGGAUAUGUUUAGAGAGAGAGAGUAUAGAUGUUUGUUAUGGGAUUUUUUCAAUAGAGUGAGAUUGUUUUGGUGAA